rnacentral:rRNA from 1 species
ACGUAGGGCGCGAGCGUUGUCCGGAAUUAUUGGGCGUAAAGAGCUUGUAGGCGGUUUGUUGCGUCUGCUGUGAAAGGCCGGAGCUUAACUCCGUGUAUUGCAGUGGGUACGGGCAGACUAGAGUGCAGUAGGGGAGACUGGAAUUCCUGGUGUAGCGGUGGAAUGCGCAGAUAUCAGGAGGAACACCGAUGGCGAAGGCAGGUCUCUGGGCUGUAACUGACGCUGAGAAGCGAAAGCAUGGGGAGCGAACAG